rnacentral:rRNA from 1 species
AAAGGCAUAAGGGAGCUUGACUGCGAGACCUACAAGUCGAGCAGGGUCGAAAGACGGACUUAGUGAUCCGGUGGUUCCGCAUGGAAGGGCCAUCGCUCAACGGAUAAAAGCUACCCCGGGGAUAACAGGCUUAUCUCCCCCAAGAGUUCACAUCGACGGGGAGGUUUGGCACCUCGAUGUCGGCUCAUCGCAUCCUGGGGCUGUAGUCGGUCCCAAGGGUUGGGCUGUUCGCCCAUUAAAGCGGUACGCGAGCUGGGUUCAGAACGUCGUGAGACAGUUCGGUCCCUAUCCGUCGUGGGCGUAGGAAAUUUGAGAGGAGCUGUCCUUAGUACGAGAGGACCGGGAUGGACAUACCUCUGGUGUACCAGUUGUCGUGCCAACGGCAUAGCUGGGUAGCUAUGUGUGGACGGGAUAAGUGCUGAAAGCAUCUAAGCAUGAAGCCCCCCUCAAGAUGAGAUUUCCCAACUUCGGUUAUAAGAUCCCUCAAAGAUGAUGAGGUUAAUAGGUUCGAGGUGGAAGCAUGGUGACAUGUGGAGCUGACGAAUACUAAUCGAUC